rnacentral:misc_RNA from 1 species
CCAAACUUGGUCAUUUAGAGGAAGUAAAAGUCGUAACAAGGUUUCCGUAGGUGAACCUGCGGAAGGAUCAUUACCAAUUUUUAGCGGAUCUUGGCUUGUCCAUGAUCUCGCGAAACUCCUGUAUUUAAAACCCGCUCAUAAAAUUUUAAAAACAAUUUAUAUAUAAAAUAAUAAAGAUCACUUUCAACAACGGAUCUCUUGGCUCUCGCAUCGAUGAAGAACGCAGC